GGGGAUUAGCUCAGCUGGAAGAGCGUCUGGUUCGCAAUCAGAAGGUCACGGGUUCGAACCCCGCAUUCUCC
rnacentral:tRNA from 1 species